UUUUCCCAAAAUGGCCACCUCUAGAGGAGCACGUGCUGCUGAAUACUCAGAGACCUUUGCCUCCAAUGUCCUCCCACAAGGAGCCACAGUCACCCCGGUUUCCCAGGAGAUCCUCCCAGAAGUGCAGUCAGGCUGUGCUUUCAGGUCAAGCCCACGGGGCGGAGACAAAGGGAGAAAAGACCAGACCCUCCCAGCACCGCUCUGACUGUCUUUGGAUCCACAGCUGUAACCUGACAGGCUUGUUCCUCCCGGCCCCCGAUGUGCCCCCGCCCACAUCUCAGAGGCAGAGCUAAGGUCAGGGUGUGCCCGCGGGUGGGGCCCCGACCUCAUCCCAGACCCUGAGCUGAUUAGUGUGAUGAUGGACAGAGGGACAGCGGGGUCGCAUGAGGGGCCUGCAUGGACACACGAGCUCAGGCGACCAGGUGUGGACAGACAUUUGGGAGGGUGGCUCUGCCCAUCUCAGGCCAAGAGGCAUGGAGAUUCUGGGGGGCCUCUGCCCUGCCAGGGGAUCGAGCCGCUCCUCCCCUCCCGCUGGGUCCCCUUUAUUCCCAGAGCAUUUGAACUGGGGGCCAGUGGGAACCCCUUAGCCAGGAAAAGGUGGGGCGUCCUCACCGAGGGGCCAAGGGGAUGCUGCUGUUUUCCUUUUUCUGUCCUCUGUUUUCUUGGAGCUCAGCUAUAGGGAUGGGUCCAUCAGGGUCCCCGUCCCAGUGGAUCAGCGUGACUCAGGACAGUUCAGGGCAUGUUGUCGCCUCUUUCCAUGGGAGGUGUUGGAGCCACCAACCACAUUCUGUGGCCCUGACAUGCGUGGCUUCCUCUGUCCUGUGCCCCAGAUGUCAGUCUCAGGACAGGAUGCCUCUCAGAGGAAGUGCCAUGUGGGAGGGUCUCUGGGGGCCUCACAGGUGACCACCACCUGGGGCUUAAACCACAGGCAUCCCCCCUCCCCCAGCCAUUGGGUUCAGAUGUCUGAGGUCAAGGGGUCCCAGGGCUGCGAUCCCUCCAGAGGCUCCAGGGCAGGGUCCUUCCUGCCUCUUCCAACUUCUGGGGGCUCCAGGGGGCCCUGGGCUGGUGUCCACCUCCCUCCCGUCUCAGCAUCACCCCCCCAACCCCUGCGCUGGCCACCUUCUCCCAUCUGCACAUCUGUCUCUCUGUCCCAACGUCUUGUUUCUGCAGAGACCCCAGUCCUGUGGGGUCAGCCUUGAAGUGUGAAGCCAGGGGUGGGGCUGUUAAGCCUGGGGAGACCCCCUUCCCACCUGCCCUGCAGCGGGCAGAGCUGACCCCAUGGGGCCAUAGCCUGGUCCUGUGUGCCAUGGACGUCCUGGGUGGGUGAGUCACAGGGACACACCUCCUCCAUGGGGUCUGAGUGUGGGAACAGUGGGGCCUGGUGCCCAUCACAGCCCCUGUGGCCGUGUCCUGCUGUCCUCUUGAGGUCCGGUCCCCUGAGGGUGUCCUCUUGUUUAUGUGUUGGUGAAGGUCUAGGGGUGGGCCUGGCCUCCAUCCAGGGUGUCCUGUCAGCACCUGA